GGAUAGCUCAGCUGGUUAGAGCCUGCUGCUGAUAACACCAAGGUUGCAGGUUCGACCCCUACACGGGACAGCUGCA